UACGUAGGGCCCAAGCGUUAUCCGGAGUGACUGGGCGUAAAGAGUUGCGUAGGUGGUUAGUAAAGUGAAUAGUGAAAUCUGGCGGCUCAACCGUACAGGCUAUUAUUCAAACUCACUAACUCGAGAAUGGUAGAGGUAACUGGAAUUUCUAGUGUAGGAGUGAAAUCCGUAGAUAUUAGAAGGAACACCAAUGGCGUAGGCAGGUUACUGGACCAUUUCUGACACUGAGGCACGAAAGCGUGGGGAGCGAACCGG
rnacentral:rRNA from 1 species